rnacentral:rRNA from 1 species
GACGAACGCUGGCGGCGUGCCUAAUACAUGCAAGUAGAACGCUGAAGGAGGAGCUUGCUUCUCUGGAUGAGUUGCGAACGGGUGAGUAACGCGUAGGUAACCUGCCUGGUAGCGGGGGAUAACUUUUGGAAACGAUAGCUAAUACCGCAUAAUAGCAGUUGUUGCAUGACAACUGUUUGAAAGUUGCAAUUGCACCACUACCAGAUGGACCUGCGUUGUAUUGGGUAGUUGGUGGGGUAACGGCUCACCUAGGCGACGAUACAUAGCCGAACUGAGAGGGUGGUUAGCCACACUGGGACGGAGACACGGCCCAGACUGCCUGGGGAAGGAGCCGUAGGGAAUCGUGGGGCAUGGGCGGAAGACUGAGCGAGCAAGGCCGAGGGAGGGAAGAAGGUUGUCGGGUGGGAAAGGUCGGUUGUAAGGGAAGAACGAGUGUGAGAGUGGAAAGUUGAGAGUGUGACGGUAACUUACCAGAAAGGACCGGCUAACUACGUG